GAGGUAGGGGGGGCCCAGUGGCCCGGAGCUCCUCCUGGAGGGGGGCUGGGGGGUUGGGGGGAGGGAGGCGUCCACCAGCAGGGACAGCUCGGGGACGGAGGGCUGAACUCUUCUGGUCUGGACAACAAAACGGAAACAGCAGGCGUAACUAUGCAUCUGAACCUCGGGGCGGCCCCUCCCUGCUGUGAUUCGUUUGGGCGGAGGUGAACACAGCAACCGACAGUGUGGACCGAACCCAACUCAGGCAGCGCCACAACAAACCAGCUCAGGAUAGCCUUGGUAAGCCUGCUCAUCACAUUCAUUUGAGCAGAGUUCUGAGGUCAAUAAAGAGCAGAAUAAUGAACUGA